rnacentral:rRNA from 2 species
UUAAUUGAAGAGUUUGAUCAUGGCUCAGAUUGAACGCUGGCGGCAGGCCUAACACAUGCAAGUCGAGCGGUAACAGAGGGUAGCUUGCUACUUUGCUGACGAGCGGCGGACGGGUGAGUAAUGCUUGGGAAUAUGCCUUUUGGUGGGGGACAACAGUUGGAAACGACUGCUAAUACCGCAUAAUGUCUACGGACCAAAGUGGGG